CUGAUUUAAAAGUGAUAAACAAGUAUACAGUCCUCCUUUGAUGCACAUGUACUGUAUGUGUUCACUCAAAUGUAAGAAUGUAGAAUAUAGAACGUAGGCUGUAGAAUUGUCACGUCCUGACCAUAGUAAGAUGUGAUUUUCUAUGGUAGAUUAGGUCAGGGCUUAACAGGGGGUGUUUUGUGUUUUUCUAUGUUUUCUAUUUCUAUGUCUAAGUUCUAUUUGUAUUUCUAUGUUGUGUUUUGGGUUGAUCUCCAAUUGGAGGCUGCUGGUCCUCGUUGUCUCUAAUUGGAGAUCAUAUUUAAGUAGGGGUUUUCUUCCUGGGUUUUGUGGGUGAUUAUAUUUUGAGCAGUGUUUGUUUCUCUCUGCGUCACGGUUUGUUGUUUUGUUAAUUCAGUUAUUUGUGUAUUGCAAAGUUUCACGGAUUUAAUAAAAUGUGGAACUACAACCACGCUGCACUUUGGUCUGCUCCUUUCGACAGCCGUGACUAGAAUGUAGGCUGUAGAAUGUAGGCUGUAGAAUGUAGGCUGUAGAAUAUAGAAUGUAGGCUGUAGAAUGUAGGCUGUAGAAUGUAGGCUGUAGAAUGUAGGCUGUAGAAUGCAGGCUGUAGAAUGCAGGCUGUAGAAUAUAGAAUGUAGGCUGUAGAAUAUAGAAUGUAGGCUGUAGAAUGUAGGCUGUAGAAUAUAGGCUGUAGAAUAUAGAAUGUAGGCUGUAGAAUAUAGAAUGUAGGCUGUAGAAUGUAGGCUGUAGAAUGCAGGCUGUAGAAUAUAGGCUGUCUCCCGAGUGGCACAUCUCAGUACUAGAGUAGUGGGCUUGACUACCAACAACGAUGAGAGGUGAGGACGCUGGGAGUGUGGUGUCAAGAAAAUAACCUCUCACUCAACAUUAAAAAAACAACAGAGGGAGCACCCCCUAUCCACAUCGACGGGACAGCAGUGGAGAAGGUGAAAGUUUUAAGUUCCUAUACAAUUCUUCUGUAUCUUAGUCUACAUGUUCUUAAUUCCAUUGCUUUACUUAGAUUUGUGUGCAUUGAGUUUAUGUUGUGAAAUCGUUAGAUAUUACUUGUUAGAUGUUACUGCACUUUUGGAGCUAGAAACACAAGCAUUUCGCUACACCAGCAAUAACAUCUGCUAAACACGUGUAUUUGACCAAUAACAUUUUAUUUGAGAGGCGUCACUGCAGACCCUGGUUCGAUUCCGGGCUGUAUCACAAUCGGUCAUGAUCGGUAGUCCCACAGGGUCGCACACAACUAGCCCAGCGUUGUCAAUUAUUAUUAUUUGUUUUAAUAAUGAGGUUGUCUCCUACCUGAAUAUAGAAUGUAGAAUGUCUACGAAGUGGUUGUCUCUUACCUGUACAGCUGGUUGAUGGACAAAGCGUUUUUAGGACAACCUUCAGGCAGCUCUAUUAUAGUGAUGUGGUAGUCACGCCAACUCAUCCCCUGGGAGGACAAAUACUUUUAUCAGAGACAUAAAUUGGUGUUUAAAUCCGCCUGCCUCCGCC
rnacentral:lncRNA from 1 species